UUGACCUCAAAUCAGGUAGGACUACCCGCUGAACUUAAGCAUAUCAAUAAGCGGAGGAAAAGAAACUAACAAGGAUUCCCCUAGUAACUGCGAGUGAAGCGGGAUAAGCUCAAAUUUGAAAUCUGGCAGUCUUUUUUUUCUUCUUUGGCUGUCCGAGUUGUAAUCUAGAGAAGUGCUACCUGCACUGGACCAUGUAUAAGUCUCCUGGAAUGGAGCCUCACAGAGGGUGAGAAUCCCGUCUUUGACAUGGACCGCCAGUGUGUUGUGGUGUGCUCUCAAAGAGUCGAGUUGUUUGGGAAUGCAGCUCUAAAUGGGUGGUAAACUCCAUCUAAAGCUAAAUAUUGGCGAGAGACCGAUAGCGAACAAGUACCGUGAGGGAAAGAUGAAAAGGACUUUGGAAAGAGAGUUAAACAGUAUGUGAAAUUGUUGAAAGGGAAACGCUUGAAGUCAGUUAUGUUGGCUAGGGAUCAACCUAGCUAUUUUUGCUGGGUGAAUUUCCUAGUUUGACAGGCCAACAUCAGUCUUGACUGCUGGAAAAGAGCAGA
rnacentral:rRNA from 1 species